UACGUAGGGGGCGAGCGUUAUCCGGAAUUAUUGGGCGUAAAGAGUGCGUAGGUGGCCAUGUAAGCGCGGGGUGAAAGGCAAUAGCUUAACUAUUGUAAGCCUUGCGAACUGUGUGGCUUGAGUGCAGGAGAGGAAAGUGGAAUUCCUAGUGUAGCGGUGAAAUGCGUAGAUAUUAGGAGGAACACCAGUGGCGAAGGCGACUUUCUGGACUGUAACUGACACUGAGGCACGAAAGCGUGGGGAGCAAACAGG
rnacentral:rRNA from 3 species